UACAGAGGUCCCAAGCGUUGUUCGGAUUCACUGGGCGUAAAGGGUGCGUAGGUGGUGAGGUAAGUCGGAUGUGAAAGCUCGGAGCUCAACUCCGAAAUGGCAUUGGAAACUACCUUGCUCGAGGGUUGGAGGGGGGACUGGAAUACUUGGUGUAGCAGUGAAAUGCGUAGAUAUCAAGUGGAACACCAGUGGCGAAGGCGAGUUCCUGGACAACUCCUGACACUGAGGCACGAAAGCUAGGGGAGCAAACAGG
rnacentral:rRNA from 1 species